GGCAAGGCGUCCGGGAUGCUUUAACAUGCAAGUCGAACGGCAGCGCGAAGAAAGCUUGCUUUCUUUGGCGGCGAGUGGCGAACGGGUGAGUAAUAUAUCGGAACGUGCCCAGUAGCGGGGGAUAACUACGCGAAAGCGUGGCUAAUACCGCAUACGCCCUACGGGGGAAAGGGGGGGAUCGCAAGACCUCUCACUAUUGGAGCGGCCGAUAUCAGAUUAGCUUGUUGGUGAGGUAAAGGCUCACCAAGGCCGCGAUCUGUAGCUGGUUUGAGAGGACGACCAGCCACACUGGGACUGAGACACGGCCCAGACUCCUACGGGAGGCAGCAGUGGGGAAUUUUGGACAAUGGGGGAAACCCUGAUCCAGCCAUCCCGCGUGUGCGAUGAAGGCCUUCGGGUUGUAAAGCACUUUUGGCAGGGAAGAAAAGGCGCCGGAUAACACCUGGCGCUGAUGACGGUACCUGCAGAAUAAGCACCGGCUAACUACGUGCCAGCAGCCGCGGUAAUACGUAGGGUGCAAGCGUUAAUCGGAAUUACUGGGCGUAAAGCGUGCGCAGGCGGUUCGGAAAGAAAGAUGUGAAAUCCCAGAGCUUAACUUUGGAACUGCAUUUUUAACUCCCGAGCUAGAGUAUGUCAGAGGGGGGUAGAAUUCCACGUGUAGCAGUGAAAUGCGUAGAGAUGUGGAGGAAUACCGAUGGCGAAGGCAGCCCCCUGGGGAUGAUACUGACGCUCAUGCACGAAAGCGUGGGGAGCAGACAGGAUUAUAUACCCUGGUAGUCCACGCCCUAAACGAUGUCAACUAGCUGUUGGGGGCCUUCGGCCUCAGUAGCGCAGCUAACGCGUGAAGUUGACCGACCUGGGAGUACGGUCGGCAAGAUUAAAACUCAAACGAAUUGACCGGGACCCCGCACCAGCGGGUGGAUGAUGUGGAUUAAUUUCAUGCAACGCGAAAAAGCUUAACUUAACCCUUGACAUGUUCUGGGAUUUCCGAAAAGACUGGGAAGAGUGGUCGUGAGGAAAACCGGAAACACAGGGUGCUGCGUGGCCUCGUCGUCCGCUCCUUUUCGGCAGAAGUUGAGUUAAGUCCCGCAACGGACGCAUCCCUGCCAUGGGUGCCUACGAAUGCCACGUUCUACUGCAAACUGCAAAUAACAACCGGAGCAGCGGAAGAGGUGCGAGCUCAGCCUAGCGGGUGAGCUUAGCGCUCUACCAUGACUCCCAGGAC
rnacentral:rRNA from 1 species